GACGGAGGAUGCAAGUGUUAUCCGGAAUCACUGGGCGUAAAGCGUCUGUAGGUGGUUUAAUAAGUCAACUGUUAAAUCUUGAGGCUCAACCUCAAAAUCGCAGUCGAAACUAUUAGGCUAGAGUAUAGUAGGGGUAAAGGGAAUUUCCAGUGAGCGGUGAAAUGCGUAGAGAUUGGAAAAGAACACCGAUGGCGAAGGCACUUUACUGGGCUAUUACUAACACUCAGAGACGAAAGCUAGGGUAGCAAAUGGG
rnacentral:rRNA from 1 species